rnacentral:rRNA from 1 species
UACGUAGGGGGCGAGCGUUGUCCGGAAUUAUUGGGCGUAAAGCGCGCGCAGGCGGAUCAGCCAGUCUGCUUUAAAAGUUCGGGGCUUAACCCCGUGAUGGGGUGGAAACUGCUGAUCUAGAGUAUCGGAGAGGAGAGUGGAAUUCCUAGUGUAGCGGUGAAAUGCGUAGAUAUUAGGAAGAACACCGGUGGCGAAGGCGGCUUUCUGGGCGAAAACUGACGCUGAGGCGCGAAAGCGUGGGGAGCGAACAGG